rnacentral:rRNA from 1 species
CGAAGCGUGCGAUUGGAUUGCACGUCUAAGCAGUAAGGCUGAGUAUUAGGCAAAUCCGGUACUCGUUAAGGCUGAGCUGUGAUGGGGAGAAGACAUUGUGUCUUCGAGUCGUUGAUUUCACACUGCCGAGAAAAGCCUCUAGAUAGAAAAUAGGUGCCCGUACCGCAAACCGACACAGGUAGUCAAGAUGAGAAUUCUAAGGUGAGCGAGCGAACUCUCGUUAAGGAACUCGGCAAAAUGACCCCGUAACUUCGGGAGAAGGGGUGCUCUUUAGGGUUAACGCCCAGAAGAGCCGCAGUGAAUAGGCCCAAGCGACUGUUUAUCAAAAACACAGGUCUCUGCUAAACCGUAAGGUGAUGUAUAGGGGCUGACGCCUGCCCGGUGCUGGAAGGUUAAGAGGAGUGGUUAGCUUCUGCGAAGCUACGAAUCGAAGCCCCAGUAAACGGCGGCCGUAACUAUAACGGUCCUAAGGUAGCGAAAUUCCUUGUCGGGUAAGUUCCGACCCGCACGAAAGGCGUAACGAUUUGGGCACUGUCUCAACGAGAGACUCGGUGAAAUCAUAGUACCUGUGAAGAUGCAGGUUACCCGCGACAGGACGGAAAGACCCCGUGGAGCUUUACUGUAGCCUGAUAUUGAAAUUCGGCACAGCUUGUACAGGAUAGGUAGGAGCCUUUGAAACGUGAGCGCUAGCUUACGUGGAGGCGCUGGUGGGAUACUACCC